GCAUCAGCCCCCCCAGGCAGAGGCUGGGGUCCGAACUCCUGUCUGAGGCAUCUUCCAGCCGCACCCCAUCCACGUCAAUGACCCUGCCAGCGGGACGUGCUGGGGAAGACACCCCCUUGCGGUCGCCCCCCGCUGGAGCCCCCUCUGGCCAUCACACAGCCCGACUUUCCAGGUCUCUCAUCCCCCUAGGUGGCAACAAUGAAAACAGACCACAUUAAGGGUCAGGACUGUGGCCAUUCGAGAUCCAAACAGGCUACCACCAUCGGCCUCCCAUAAUGCCGUGCGCUUACACACCCUUAUUUUAGCCCCAUCCUGAGUGGCGUGUGUGCAUGUCUGUGUAUACAUGUGUGGUUAUUACAUUUAUACGGUUGCAAUAAGUAGUUACUUCCUGCCUGACUUUCAGUGGUCAUUAUGUAUUACAAUACUGGUGUAUGAGUGCGUACAUUUGUGCUUGUUAGUGCAUUUUGCACAUGUGUGUGUGUGUGUGUGUGGGCAUGUAUAUAUUACAUUGUGGAGACCAAUUGUCCCCCGCAAUGUGAUGAAAACAUGUUAUUUCGACCUUGUGGCACAUUUUUCCGGUCCCCACAAAGGGAAACUCAGUUUUAUCAAACUGUGAAUAUAAUCAAAAACACAAAAAUGUAAAAAAAAAAAAAAAAUGUGUAUUUUGCUUGGUUACUUAUGGUUAAGGUUAGGGCUGGGUAGGGGUUAAGGUUGUCAUAGCUGGGAUUAGGGUUAUGCCCAUAGAAAUGAAUGGCCGGUCCUCAUAAACAUAUGAGUACGACUGUGUGUGUGUCUAUUAUGAUAAAAACACAUUGUGAUAAAAAAUGUUAUUUGGACAUUGUGGGGACCAUUUUUCAGGUCCCUACAAAGUUCUGUGACUGCAGGCAAUAAACUAAAAAGCCUAGAA